rnacentral:lncRNA from 1 species
AUUAAUUUUAUAAUAAUAAUAAUAAUUAAAAAUUAAUAUUUAAUAGUGAUAAAUAUUAUUAUUAUUGAAUGAUAAUUUUAUUAUUAUUAUUAGUAUUACUACUAUUACAAGUAUUUAAUUUGACUAUACAAGUCAAAUUUGAUCAUAUUGACUUGUAUAGUCAAAUUAAAUACUAGUAAUAGUAAUAAUAAUAUUUUAUUUUUAAUAAAUAUUAAAUAUUAUUAUUAUUAUUAAUUUUUAAUUAUUAUUAUAAUAAAAAAAUAAAUAUUUUAAAUAAAAGUAGGUUCUGGAGGAGAGAGAAAAAAAAUUUCAUCUCCUAAUUAACAGAUAAAUGCUAUUAAGUCACCUUUUGUUUUCUAAUUUAUUAAAAAGAGGCUAGAUUAGAAUUUUUUUAAAAAAUAAAUUAACGCUGGAUUGAAAAUAUAUAUAUUUUUUCAACAAGGCUAGGUAUGAACAGACCGUUCCUAGUGCAAGUGGCAAAGGGCUUGGUGGUUGGUACUCGAGAUCUUAAGUUCGAAUCACAGUUGAUUCACAUUUCAGUUCGAAUUAUAGUUGAUUCAUAUUUUCAGCUAAAUUUAUUUCUAAAUAAAAUAAACGAAGCGGGAUAACAUACUACUAGGUACCAUUAGUUCGAUUUUUUUUAAUGCAAAUUAGGAGUGUGGCUAGGAUGCUUAUGGAAGCACGGAGGGCUCCGUGCUUCCACUUUGUUUUCGAUGUUCGGACUUUCGAAUCGACGAUCGACUCCGUUAGACUUGAUCUACAGUAUUUGAAGUAUCUAGAAAAUAAAUUUUGUGAUUUUUCGAUAUCAUUUGCCUAGUGAUCGAAGUAGCUCAAAAUCAACAGUUGAAAAUAAAAAUCUUACAAAAUAUGAUGAUAUGGCAUUAAAAUUUUAAAUCAAAGUUAUUGAUCUUGUUUUAUAUGGUAUAAAGAAUUUUCUAUCAAAAUUUCACGUGAUUUGGAUAUUUCUACACCGUUAAACUUGCAACCAGCUCACCACGGCCAUUAAAAUUAUUGAUUUUGAGCCCCUUCGAUCACUAGGUAAAUGAUAUCGAAAAAUCACAAAAUUUAUUUUCUAAGUACUUCAAAUACUCUAGAUCAACUCUAACGAAGCCGAUCGUCGAUUCGAAAGUCCGAACAUCGAAAAUAAAGUAAAAGUACGAAGGGCUAUGUGUUUCCGUAAGCAUGCCAGCCCACUCUGCAAAUUAGUCUG